UUAACCCUACGACUCAACGAUGACAUCACCCUCAAUCUCGAAAGGAGCUCGGUGUUGGCAGAAAACCUUCGAUUUGUUACAAACUACAAGGGCGGACACGUCUUGUCAACGAUUGACACGUCUUCUAUUCAGGAGAACCUCUAUCAGGAUCCUCAAUGGCAGUCAUCCCUUAAAGUCGUCCGAAAGGAUGGAGGCGUCCAAAUUGAAGGUAUCAUCGACAGUAAGCGCAGAAUCAAAC